AUUGAACGCUGGCGGCAGGCCUAACACAUGCAAGUCGAACGAGUGGCGGACGGGUGAGUAAUGUCUGGGAAACUGCCUGAUGGAGGGGGAUAACUACUGGAAACGGUAGCUAAUACCGCAUACCAUCGGAUGUGCCCAGAUGGUAUUAGCUUGUAGGUGAGGUAACGGCUCACCGAGGCGACGAUCCCUAGCUGGUCUGAGAGGAUGACCAGCCGCACUGGAACUGAGACACGGUCCAGACGCUUGCGGGAGGCAGCAGUGGGGAAUAUUGCACAAGGGGCGCAAGCCUGAUGCAGCCAGGACGCGUGUAAGAAGAAGGCCUUCGGGUUGUAAAGUACUUUCAGCGGGGAGGCGUUACCAGCAGAAGAAGCAUCGGCUAACUCCGUGCCAGCAGCCGCGGUAAGUC
rnacentral:rRNA from 1 species